rnacentral:rRNA from 1 species
AGAGUUUGAUCAUGGCUCAGGACGAACGCUGGCGGCGUGCCUAACACAUGCAAGUCGAGCGAGGGCAGGGCUUCGGUCCUGACCCGAGCGGCGGACGGGUGAGUAACACGUGAGUAAUCUGUCUCUGUGCGGGGGACAACCCGGGGAAACUCGGGCUAAUACCGCAUGGUCGGUGAUCAGGAUCUGGUUAUCGGGAAAGGUGGCCUCUUUACAAUGCUGCCGUGCAGAGAGGAACUCGCGGGCUAUCAGCUAGUUGGUAGGGUUACGGCCUACCAAGGCGACGACGGCUACGGGGUCUGAGAGGACGACCCCGCACAUUGGAACUGAGACACGGUCCAGACUCCUACGGGAGGCAGCAGUGGGGAAUAUUGGGCAAUGGGCGAAAGCCUGAUCCAGCCAUGCCGCGUGAGUGAAGAAGGCCUUAGGGUUGUAAUGCUCUUUUGCCCGGGAAGAUAAUGACGGUACCGGGAGAAUAAGCCCCGGCAAACUUCGUGCCAGCAGCCGCGGUAAUAC